AUGUCGAUGGUGACGCCGGUGGCGAUCCCCGUGGAGGGGAAGAAGGGCGAGAAGAAGGCGGCCAAGUGGCUGGGGCACUACUCGUCCGCGCAGAGCAUCCUGGUCGUCGGCGACGGCGACUUCUCCUUCUCGCUGGCGCUCGCCACCGCCUUUGGCUCUGGGGAGAAACUCGUCGCCACGUCCUUCGACUCCUACGUUCAUCUGAUCAGCAUGUACAGCAAAGCGGAAUCAAACGUAGCGGAGCUCAAGAGUCUGGGCGCCACGGUGCUACAUAGUGUCAGUGUGAAGAAGAUGAAGAAACGCACCGAUCUCAUGUCUAGACGGUUUGACCGAAUAGUCUUCAAUUUUCCCCACGCCGGGUUCAUAGGGAAGGAGAAUCAGGUGCAUAUGAUCAACGCCCAUCGGCUGCUGGUGCAAAGGUUCUUCCGCAACGCGAGCAAGAUGCUCCGUCCCCUCGGCGAGAUACACGUCAGCCACAAGACGGGGCAGCCAUACGACAGAUGGGAGAUCGAGGGUCUCGCCCUCGAGUUUUCGCUUCUCAAGUUUGAGAUGGUCGCCUUCCGUAAAGAGGAUUACCCCGGGUAUAACCAGAAGAGAGGCGACGGUGACAGAUGCGACGAGGAAUUCCCUCUACGCAACGGCUGCACUUUCAAGUUCCAGCGCUGGCCUCGCUGA
rnacentral:rRNA from 1 species